AAUCAGCUCAGGAUGAACGCUAGCUACAGGCUUAACACAUGCAAGUCGAGGGGCAGCAUGGUCUUAGCUUGCUAAGGCCGAUGGCGACCGGCGCACGGGUGAGUAACACGUAUCCAACCUGCCGUCUACUCUUGGACAGCCUUCUGAAAGGAAGAUUGAUACAAGAUGGCAUCAUGAGUUCACAUGUUCACAUGAUUAAAGGUAUUCCGGUAGACGAUGGGG
rnacentral:rRNA from 1 species